rnacentral:rRNA from 1 species
CACUUCUAAGGAAGGCAGCAGGCGCGCAAAUUGCCCAACCCUGACUCAGGGAGGUAGUGACAAGAAAUAACAAUAAACCGGCUUAUGCCGGUUUAAUUGGAAUGAGUACAAUUUAAACAUCUUAACGAGGAACAAUUGGAGGGCAAGUCUGGUGCCAGCAGCCGCGGUAAUUCCAGCUCCAAUAGCGUAUACUAAAGUUGUUGCAGUUAAAAAGCUCGUAGUUGGAUUUCUGUGGGGACGGAGCGGCCGGCCGCAACACGCGGUUCGAGCUAGCGCUUUCCCUACAUCCUGCCGCGAACCGUGCUACCAUUGAUUUGGUGGCGCCGGGGAUCGGCUCGAUUACUUUGAGAAAAAUAGAGUGUUCAAAGCAGGCCACAUGCCUUGAAUAAGUUAGCAUGGAAUAAUAACUAAGGACUUCGGUUCUAUUUUGUUGGUGUUCGGGACUGAAGUAAUGAUUGAUAGGGACAGUUGGGGCGGUCUGUACUCCAAAGCGAGAGGUGAAAUUCUUAGACCUUCGGAAGACAAACAGCUGCGAAAGCGUUCCGCAAGGAUGUUCCCUUUGAUCAAGAACGAAAGUUGGGGGAUCGAAGACGAUCAGAUACCGUCGUAGUCUCAACUAUAAACUAUACCAGCUAGGGAUCGGCCAACGUUAUUUUAUACCGACUUGGUCGGCACCUUAUGAGAAAUCAAGGCAUCUGGGUUCCGGGGGGAGUAUGGUCGCAAGGCUGAAACUUAAAGGAAUUGACGGAAGGGCACCACCAGCCGUGGAGCCUGUGGCUUAAUUUGACUCAACACGGGAAAACUUACCAGGUCCAGACAUAGUAAGGAUUGACAGAUUGAUAGCUCUUUCUUGAUUCUGUGGGUGGUGGUGCAUGGCCGUUCUUAGUUGGUGGAGUGAUUUGUCUGGUUAAUUCCGUUAACGAACGAGACCCCAGCCUGCUAAAUAGCGCGUGUGAGCUUUGCUCGCAGCGAGCUUCUUAGAGGGACUAUGAUGCGCGAUAGCACAUGGAAGUUUGGGGCAAUAACAGGUCUGUGAUGCCCUUAGAUGUUCUGGGCCGCACACGGGCUACACUGGCGCCUGCAACGAGCAUAUCAGCUGGCCCGAGAGGGUCUUGGCUAAUCUUUUGAACCGGCGCCGUGCUUGGGAUUGACCUUUGCAAUUGUUGGUCAUGCAACGAGGAAUGCCUUGUAAACGCGAGUCAUCAGCUCGCAUUGAAUACGUCCCUGCCCUUUGUACACACCGCCCGUCGCUCCUACCGAUGAAUGUUCCGAUGAAAUUUUCGGAGAGUGCCUGUGAACUUGGCUCUGCCUUGCGAACGGGAAGCUCAAAGUCACUUAAAUCUGAACAUUUC